AUGGAUGUGACCUUUUUUCUAGGCUGGUUCUCACAAGGUGUCAAAGAUCUUCAUAUUCAAGCCAUGGCUUUGCGUGUGAGGUGGGAAUGGUUGCACAGAUCCGACCAACUUAGACCUUGGCAGGGGCUGCCACCGCUCAAUGAUGACAAGGCGAGACAAGUGUCCGACGGCCUGGUCCACAUCUGCCUUGGAGAUGUGAGAUUAGUGCUCUUCUGGAGAGAUCGAUGGAUCAAUGGCAUGAGCAUCGCAGAUUUUGCUCCUCUUGUGUUGGAGAAGUUUUACAAGAAUGCUGAUAUGAUAUCAUAUUUUGCUAAACAGGGAAAUUAA
rnacentral:rRNA from 1 species